GCGGCGGACGGGUGAGUAAUGCCUAGGAAUCUGCCUGGUAGUGGGGGAUAACGUCCGGAAACGGGCGCUAAUACCGCAUACGUCCUGAGGGAGAAAGUGGGGGAUCUUCGGACCUCACGCUAUCAGAUGAGCCUAGGUCGGAUUAGCUAGUUGGUGGGGUAAAGGCCUACCAAGGCGACGAUCCGUAACCGGGUCUGAGAGGAUGAUCAGUCACACUGGAACUGAGACACGGUCCAGACUCCUACGGGAGGCAGCAGUGGGGAAUAUUGGACAAUGGGCGAAAGCCUGAUCCAGCCAUGCCGCGUGUGUGAAGAAGGUCUUCGGAUUGUAAAGCACUUUAAGUUGGGAGGAAGGGCAGUAAGUUAAUACCUUGCUGUUUUGACCGUUCCCACCAGAAUAAGCACCGGCUAACUUCGUGCCAGCAGCCGCGGUAAUACGAAGGGUGCAGCAAGCGUUAAUCGGAAUUACUGGGCGUAAAGCGCGCGUAGGUGGUUCAGCAAGUUGGAUGUGAAAUCCCCGGGCUCAACCUGGGAACUGCAUCCAAAACUACUGAGCUAGAGUACGGUAGAAGGGGGGUGGAAUUUCCUGUGUAGCGGUGAAAUGCGUAGAUAUAGGAAGGAACACCAGUGGCGAAGGCGACCACCUGGACUGAUACUGACACUGAUGGUGCGAAAGCGUGGGGAGCAAACAGGAUUAGAUACCCUGGUAGUCCACGCCGUAAACGAUGUCAACUAACCGUUGGGAUCCUUGAGAUCUUAAUGGCGCAGCUAACGCGAUAAAUCAACCCCCUGCGGAAUACCGCCGCAAGGUUAAAACUCCAAUGAAUUUAACCGGGGGCC
rnacentral:rRNA from 1 species